GCGGUGGGAGAGAGCACAGCCGGCUGCUGGUCAAAUAAUCGGAUUUCUUCCCUCCUUGUGGCCUCUCUCUCUGUGCUUGGGAGAGCUCGUUCAGAGUCCUCCACCGGCUGCCUGAGGCUGAGCUUCCAUCCUGGAUCUGACAGCGUGUGAUUUACAAAGGGCUCUACGUCCCGUGUAAGCCAGAUGACUCCAGCACAUCAGCUACAAGCUGUUUUCACAGACCCUGAAAGAGAGACUCCAUAUUCCUGCCUCAGCUCCUGCACCAUCUGGUCUUUCCCGUUGAGAGCCUCUGGCUGAGGUCUCCAGAGGAGCGUACGUCUUCUCGGCUGCGCUGGCUCACGUACCGCAGCUGCAUCACGGACAACGGCGCUGUUUCUUUCUCUUCCCGAUUGCUGCUUUGUCUCCUCACAUGUUACAGCUCUUCCUUCCCGUUUCUUCCUGCUCUGUAGAGAACACCUCCAUUCUACAAAAAUACAGCAAUACAAGAACUGAUAGUUAUCACAGUGCCUAGGAGUGAGAAAGGAAAUCCUUCCACAGGAGCUCAGGGAGGACUGCUUCUACACAGCACCAAGUCUGUACCCACCCGCCGCUGCCGGCUCCUCGCAGAAGAGAGGUUGAGGAACGAGAAAAGGUGACACCCAGCCGGCGGAGGCUUGUGCAAACAGCCGGUGAGCUGGGACGGUGUCUGCAGCCGCAGUCUGAGAGGGAAGCCAAGCAGCAGCGUGAUGCUGUGCAGAGCACGACGUACGUCCACUGCAACAGGCAACUGCAUGUCGGGAGACGCUGAGAAGAUAUCACUUCAGCAAACAUAUAUGGUCACGACUGCCUGAUUAAAAGCAAGCAGAAGGGUUGUGUUUGGGGUUUUUUUUCCAUAUAAUAAUACUAUGAAACAGUUGUGUAAAAUUGAGAACCUCAUCAAUAUUACAUCUGCAACAGAUGGCGAAAACCUCCCUGCAUGGACAAAUAAUCCAUUUAGUUCUUCAGACAAGAUCUCCAGUGCCAGAUGUAGUAUCUGGCCUUUUGAUUCAGCGUUGAGAUACACCAGUUGAAAACCACAGCCAGCCAAACAACUCCCUGUUGACCCCACGUCUACGCAGGAGCAUACACAAGCCAUGCUCUAGAUUCGAAUCCUAUUGAAUCUGAAUUAUUAGCCCAGCACUCAAGCAGCUAUUUUCAUGACAAGCCUUCUGUCGCCUGCAGGGAUCCCUGGAUACAAAUGCCCCAAAGGGGACGUCCCGACACAGGCUGCAGGAGAGACGGAGCGAGAGACCUGGACACUGCUAGUGGAAGACCACGAGACAUCUCCUCCUCUUCGGCUUUGCUCCUGUUUGGAAAAUCAGUGGAUGGACGUGUUGUGCCGUGUCCCCAGCUGUACGCACCCUCUGGCUCCCACCCCAUCCCACGUUGGAUGGAGCGCGGUGGCUUGUCCAUGUGCACCUACGCAGGACGUCAGCUCCCUGCUCCCAGACCACGUUGCUUGAUUUCUCUGUCUCUUGCUGUUCAGAAUGCGCCUCCUGCACAUCUGGGCGAUGGCAUUUAAAUCCUCCCCAUCCAGGGAGCGUCCCUGCCUGUUGACAGACGGUCUGUACUGAAGUUCUGCGCAGCGGUACGAGCCGCGGGGCACGCCGGACCGCAGCCUGGCUGGUGCAGGGCUGGGGGGCAAAUGAUUAACCCUGUCUCUCUUCUGCUCUUUGCACCGAGGUUCCGGACUUGCCUUGUUCCUGCGAUCGCUACACUAGCGAAGCUGCUGUUGAAGCCAGCCAGCUCUCCCUGGCUGUAUAUCCUGAAAUUCAGAGUCAAUACGGUUCAACCCUAAAAAUACAAGCUCUCUGCUUUAAUGCCUAUGUAGCAAAUGUUAAUAGCUGUAACCACCUCAUAAUAUGAAUAAUUUGGGAUAAUAUGAAUUUGUGCUCUCAUUUUGGUGCAAUCACUCAUGUUUAUGUUGAACUUUUAAUUUAGUAUACAUUUUUUUAAAAAGGACAUGAUAUGAAGCGGUUCUGCCUUGUCCACACAAGCUACCAAAUCAAAUUGUUUGCCCUCUUCUAGGUAGAAGUUGUCUCCAGGAAGAAAUUCUAUAAUGUUGUCUCUGUGCUGUGCGUUGUACAGAGUCUCUUUUUUCUGUUUUUAUCACAUUCAUGGCAAAAUGCUAAAUCUGGUUUUGACCCAGAUCUAUACAAAUUACUGUAGCAAUAGGGUUGGAAUCUAUGUAGGUACAUACUUACGAAGCAAAGAAGGACAAACCUAUGGCUGCAAAAAAUGCUGUAACGGCACUUGUGAAAUUAGUGACACUAGCAAAGACAGUGCAAGAGAAAAUCAUGAUAAUGUUUUAUAAGAAGGAAACAGAGCAUGGUUUCUUGCCCUCCUAGAUUUAGCAGAUGGAUUCUCGCACGCUGCAUUGCUAAAGCACCCGUUGCCCUAAUGGCUUGGGGAUGGAAGAACGUUUGCCCACAUGAAGUAACACAAGCGUGCUAGUUCAUGCUUUGAGGAUCGCUGCAUUCUCAAAAACAAUGAAUAAGAGCAGGAGUGUUAAUUUUGGAGUGGCAAUUUUGCUACUCUGAGUCCUAUCCUGUGUUGUCAGACCAAGCAGCAGCAAACAAAGCAGAGGUUUUCUGCCAGAGACAGGGAGAUCCAAAAUCACUGAGCUUUUCCAUGUUUGUGAGUGAUUAAUGUGACAAUUCAUGAGGCUUUAAUGUAAGGAAGGGAUAGAAAUGGCUUAGCCCCAAGAUCAUGAAAUUUCUGUGGAGCAGAAUUGCUGAAAUGAUUUAGCAGAGGACUAAAUAAUGUAACUAACCUUAUGCACAGCUGUGAAAUCACUUCUAUCUGUUUAUUUAAAAUGACAAAUCACAUAAAUGUGUGUACAUAUCUGUGCUGUGCCAAAUUUUAUCACUCCCAUGUAAGACCUUUUCUCUCAUGAAAACAUCACUGCAGGUCAAUUUUGGCAGACCCACACUGUAGAAACAUCAUGUUCCCAUCAUGAAAGCACCGUGUCAUGAACUGAAGCUGUUUUACCCCCUGGACUGGGGGAUCCCCUGGUUCUGGGACCCGCUCCGCUCUCCAGGCUGCCAGCUCAGGCACUCGCCUGCCGUGGCCAUGACCCCCCGUCAGCCUUUCUUUCCAUCUCCCACCUUAAAUGUGCUGGCCCCUGCCCGCUUUCUACUCCCACCCCCUCUUUCCAGGCUGGCUUUGCCUAAGAGGGUUGUGUCCUAUCUAGAAAUCUAUGAAUUAAACCCACAAGUUAGGUACAAUUUAAGAGGUCUGACCAGCUUCUCCUUUGCUCCCUGAAUACAUCAGUCUGACCCUCAUCCCAACCAAGGAGCUUGAUGUGGUCAGCCUUAAAAGCGGGGGCAAACCGUUGUUGCCACAGCUGCUCUGAAGGACUCGGAGGUUUCGGUUAAGUACUCUCCAAUGCUUUUGGGUGAGCUUGUGCAGUUUCUCCUACUGCCAAGCCAUGGUUGCUUUGUCUCCUUCCCCCGUGAGCCAGCGGUGGGGAACGGUGCAGCUCCUCAAAAAGAUACAACCUGGCUAUAAGCAAUCAUCUCUUUUUUUUUUUAAUUUUUUUUAUUUGACUCAACUUUGGCAAAGGCAAGUUGGCUGGGGCUGGAGUACGGGCUGCAUCUUCUGUAUCUGAAAGAUGCUAAAAGCUGCCAGGUCGUGCAAAGUCUCGUGGGUGACGCAUCAUUAAAGCAGCUUGUGAGCAGCAAAACUUCCCCGAGCGCAGCGAGCCCCGCUGCUGAGCUCCUCCAGGUGUCAAGGAAAGGGGAGCCUGCCCCAUGCUAAUUAAAACUCUUUUCUCAACUUCUCCUUGGCAAGGUGCAAAGAAAUCCUUUUUUCAUGUUCAACGACUAAAAAUAAAUCCUAUUUUGGAUUUCAGAAGCAGCCGCAUGACUAAAAUGAGCCGUUCGAUUUCAUUCAUGUUUGCUGUCUAUUAAUCUGUUCUCCUCACCCUCAGCAGGGUAUGACUCAGGGCUUCGCAUUGUCUUCCUCCCGAAACUAUCUGUGUUUUGACUUUAAAUCCUGCCGUCUGACGCAAAGCAGUGCUGAAAUCAUGACAGUUUGAUCCAGCCAGUUCCCAGGAGGCUCUUGAUCUUUACUGGCUGGUAAAUGUAGCGCUCAGAAUAGCUAUGCGGAGCAGAUAUUGAUAUUUUUACACCAAAUGUUGGUAAGCAGAUGUCACACACUUGUGAAGAGCCUUGAAACUCCACGGGAGAAAAUAUGUGAGUAUGUAUGUGGGGGAGGCCCAGAGACAAAAAUAAUGUGGUGGUUAUAUGAGAAGACAUAUAUUCCGUAAUCUGGUGGUGUUUUGCUAUUCCUGUUGAUCGUACUCAAACCGGAGGCUGCGCUGGAACAAGUAAAACGGGAAACUCUGUCCCCGUCCAUGCUCCUGCUGCUUUUACACGCUCCUUCCCGCAGAGGCUUCUGUCCUCCUCCAGCGCUGGCUGAGCCGGCGGGUCCCAUCCACCUGCCGGGAGCAGAGGGUCUGUGCCGCGGUGGACCCCAGCUGCGCCAGGCUCGAGGGUCGGUCAUUGGGCAGGGAGGAGCAGGGGCAGCAGGGCCGGGCUCCUCCAGCACUCACUGCCGAAAACAAAAGGCACUCCUAGAGGGGACAGAGCCCUGGGGCAGGGCUCAGAACCAAGCCUCAGGUGACCCCAGCAUGGCACAGGAAGGCCGAGCCCAGAGCAGCGUUUGCCAUUACAAACCAGUUUCAGUUUGUGGUUGUGCAGCGUGGCCGGGCCAGGGGGGCUCCCGCAGGCGGGCGUGCAUGGCGGGACAGCCUGCCCGGUGCCCUCAGCGACGCUGCCGCGCCGGCUCGGCCGCCCCCUCGGGCCGGGUGCCCGUGGAGGCUCCUGCGUGGGGGCCGCUCGCCCCCCCGGCGCCAAGGAAGCUUCACGCGUGGGGAGUGCCCGGCGCUCAGGCGGUGUGAGGGGGGUAAGGGAACCCCCGCGGCACGAGAGGCUCGUGCUGAAGUAGCGACACUCGCAAGGUUGUUGGUGUGUCCGCGUUGCAAAGAUGGAGGCACCCAUGUCUCAGAGGGAGCGCUCAAAUCUUGCCCUAAGGCUCCUCUUUCUAUUUUUUUUUUUUAAGUGCAGGCAGCAUGAAAUCCUGAACGUGUCAAUGUUGGGUGAAAGUCAGGAUUGGUUUGGGUUUUUGUUUGUUUUGGUUUUUUUUUUUCUUUUCCUUUAGCAAACUCCGUUCCUGAAGCAUCCCUACGGAGCGAGCAGCACACCGUGAGGGAGGCGUGCCGGCCAGGCCGGCGCUGAACCCACUUACUGCCCUUGCGGUGUGGGGUAAAGCCCGGUGAUCCCCAGCCACCAGGCGCUUGCCCUGACACCCUGCUUUGAAAGGACCGUGGUUACAAACUGCAAAGCCCUUGUUUUUCCUCACAAUGUUGUAUUUUUCUCUCCCCUUACAAGUUUGGUAAUGAAAUUUGAGCCAUUUAUUAUGUACUAAAUUUAGGGAGGCCAAGAAUAUUUGCAUACAAAUAUGUUUGAUCUUCCAAGCAUGCAAAAUGAGCAGAAAAUAACAAGUCUGAUGUUGGACCCAAGCAGAGUUCAAGGAUUUUAAAAUUAAAAUAAUUUAAAAGAAUCUAUAUCCAUGAUGGCAGAUGAACUUUUUCUGAGGAAAGAAAACCUCCCCCUUCUCGUUACAUACGGAAUGAAUGCAGAUAUUCAAGUCAGAUAUGGACUGAAUUUUAAAUGUGACAAUAGCACUUAUUCUGCAAGAAAUGUCAUGUCUGUAAUGAAUUGUAAGUUAUUUUUAGUUGCCACUGGAAACAGGGGAAGGGGGGGAAAACUAAUCAAUAUUGACACAACCCCACUUUAUUUUUAAGCAGUACUGAUCUCUGGUGACACCAGACAGAGGAGGAGAGAGCUAGAACCGAAGCAAACUGCACAAACUGCAAACUGUUUUGCUGUUUAGAAAAGAGCCACAGCAGCCAGACCGAUGUGCUGCCUGCUGCUGCGCAUUACUGCUGCGAUGGUCAUGCCACAGCGUUCAUCGGGUCAUCCUCCGAUGCGAGCUGGGCACGUGUGGCGGGAGGCGGGUCUCGCCAGGAACGGUGGUGGUGCUUGCCACCGUCACCCCGCCAGUGCUGGCGCUGGGGACGGGGCACAAGGCAACGACACCGAGCCCCAUGUUGGACCUUGCUACCGCCUGAAGUCCAGUUGUCUGACUUUUCUUUCUCCAUUGACUUUAGGGAUGAUGAUCUUCUAGCUGGGCGUGACACCACACGGUGGGCUGGAGUCCUCUUGCCUCUGUUUGCUGCCGUGAUGU